GCGCCCAUCGUCUAUCGGUUAGGACGGCACCCUUUCACGGUGCAGAGAGGGGUUCGAUUCCCCUUGGGCGUACCA
rnacentral:tRNA from 1 species